ensembl:snoRNA
GUUGAGGUCUAUCUUAAUGUGGCUUUUUCUGUAAACCUGCAUCACUGGAAAUGCCUCACAGAGUGGCUCUGUGGUCUGGAUCACUCAUAGAACUAGGUGUUAGGUUUGUAGGAAAGAACAACAAGGCAGAG